GAGUAGUCUAAUGUUGUUCCGGUUUUUGUUCUUGUGAACAUUGACAUCGAUUCGUUCCAAAUUUACACUCUCGGGGCAUAAUAGAACAAUAUAAUUAGGUUUUACGCUUUAUUAGAUAGAAUGAGAAAAAGUACCCGUUGCAAAGUUAUACUGUUAGGGUGCAACUGAGUAGUCUAAUGUUAUUCUGAUUUUUAUUCUUGUGAACGUUGACAUCGAUUCGUUCCAAAUUUACAAUCUCGGGGCAUAAUAGAACAAUAUAAUUAGGUUUUACUCUUUGUUCGAUAGAAUGCGAAAAAGUACUCGUUGUAAAGAUAUACUGUUAGGGCGCAACUGAGUAUUCUAAUGUUGAUCUGGUUUUGGUUCUUAUGAAUGUAGACAUCAAUUCAUUCCAAAUUUGCACUCUCGGGGCAUAAUAGAACAAUAUAAUUAGGUUUUACACUUUGUUCGAUAGAAUGAGAAAAAGUACUCGUUGUAAAGUUAUACUGUUAGGGCGCAACGAAGUAUUCUAAUGUUGUUCCGGUUUUGGUUCUUGUGAACGUUGACAUCGAUUCACUCAAAAUUUACACUCUCGGGGCAUAAUAGAACAAUAUAAUUAGGUUUUACUUUUUGUUCGAUCGAAUGAGAAAAAGCACUCGUUGUAAAGUUAUACNGUUUUUGUUCUUGUGAGCGUUGACAUCGAUUCGUUCCAAAUUUACACUCUCUAGGCAUAAUAGAACAAUAUAAUUAGGUUUUACGCUUUCUUCAAAAAAAUGAGAAAAAUUACUCGUUGCAAAGUUAUACAGUUAGGGCGCAACUGAGUAGUCUAAUGUUAUUCCGGUUUUUGUUCUUAUGAGCGUUGACAUCGAUUCGUUCCAAAUUUACAAUCUCUGGGCAUAAUAGAACAAUAUAAUUAGAUUUUACGCUUUCUUCGAUAAAAUGAGAAAAAGCACUCGUUGCAAAGUUAUUCUGUUAUGGCGCAACUGAGUUGUUUAAUGUUGUUCCGGUUUUUGUUCUUGUGAGCGUUGAUAUCGAUUCGUUCCAAAUUUACACUCUCUGGGCAUCAUAGAACAAUAUAAUUAGGUUUUACGAUUUUUUUUAUAAAAUGAGAAAAAUUACUCGUUGCAAAGUUAUACUGUUAUGGCGCAACUGAAGUGCCUAAUGUUGUUCCAGUUUUUGUUCUUGUGAGCGUUGACAUCGAUUCGUUCCAAAUUUACACUCUCUAGGCAUAAUAGAACAAUAUAAUUAGGCUUUACGCUUUCUUCGAUAAAAUGAGAAAAAGUACUCGUUGCAAAGUUAUACUGUUAGGGCGCAACAGAUUUGUCUAAUGUUGUUCCGGUUUUUGUUCUUAUGAGCGUUGACAUCGAUUCGUUCCAAAUUUACACUCUCUGGGCAUAAUAGAACAAUGUAAUUGGAUUUCACGCUUUUUUCGAUAAAAUGAGAAAAAGCACUUGUUGCAAAGUUAUUCUGUUAUGGCGCAACUGAGUUGUUUAAUGUUGUUCGGAUUUUUGUUCUUGUGAGCGUUGACAUCGAUUCGUUCUAAAUUUACACUCUCGGGGCAUAAUAGAACAAUAUAAUUAGGUUUUACGCUUUCUUCGAUAAAAUAAGAAAAAGCACUCGUUGCAAAGUUAUACUGUUUGGGCGCAACUGAGUAGUCUAAUGUUAUUCCGAUUUUUGUUCUU
rnacentral:lncRNA from 1 species